CUUGGUCAUUUAGAGGAAGUAAAAGUCGUAACAAGGUUUCCGUAGGUGAACCUGCGGAAGGAUCAUUAGUGAACGCCCUCACGGGCUUAUAACUAUUCCAAACCUCUGUGAACCGUGCCCUUCGGGGCUAUUUUACAAACAUGGUGUAAUGAACGUCAUAUAUCAUAACAAAACAAAACUUUCAACAACGGAUCUCUUGGCUCUCGCAUCGAUGAAGAACGCAGCGAAAUGCGAUAAGUAAUGUGAAUUGCAGAAUUCAGUGAAUCAUCGAAUCUUUGAACGCACCUUGCGCCCUCUGGUAUUCCGGAGGGCAUGCCUGUUUGAGUGUCAUGUAGACUCAAUCCCUCGGGUUUCCGAGGAGAUUGGACUUGGGUGUUGCCGCUCUGCCGGCUCGCCUUAAAAGACUUAGCGGGAUAGCACCGUAGUCGGCGUAAUAAGUUUCGUCGGUGAAGGUUGUGAUGACUGCUUACAAUCGCCCUCGGGCAAUUUUUGACUCUGACCUCAAAUCAGGUAGGACUACCCGCUGAAC
rnacentral:sRNA from 1 species